rnacentral:rRNA from 1 species
GACGAACGCUGGCGGCGUGCUUAACACAUGCAAGUCGAGCGAUGAGAUCACUUCGGUGAAGGAUUAGCGGCGAACGGGUGAGGAACACGUGAAGAAUCUGCCUUCAACUCUGGGAUAACUCCGGGAAACCGGGGCUAAUACCGGAUAUGAGCCUUGAUCGCAUGAUCGGGGCUGGAAAGUUUUUCGGUUGAAGAUGACUUCGCGGCCUAUCAGCUUGUUGGUGAGGUAAUGGCUCACCAAGGCGACGACGGGUAGCCGGCCUGAGAGGGCGACCGGCCACACUGGGACUGAGACACGGCCCAGACUCCUACGGGAGGCAGCAGUGGGGAAUAUUGGGCAAUGGAGGAAACUCUGACCCAGCGACGCCGCGUGCGGGAUGAAGGCCUUCGGGUUGUAAACCGCUUUCAGCAGGGAAUAAGCGCAAGUGAAGGUACCUGCAG